GGUGGACGGUGUGCACAGUGCAAGUCUGUGUUAUGUGCUGUUGCCUGACUGCGUUUUGCAGGCUGGGCAGCAGUGCUCACGCCACACCUGCAGCCAUAGAGUACCUGGAGAUCAUAGUACUGGUCUUUGACGUCUUUCUGACAUCUCACCAUCGGCCAGCCUCCAAACUCUCCAACAUGC